AAUCCAUAGGUUAAUGAGGCGAACCGGGGGAACUGAAACAUCUAAGUACCCCGAGGAAAAGAAAUCAACCGAGAUUCCCCCAGUAGCGGCGAGCGAACGGGGAGGAGCCCAGAGCCUGAAUCAGCAUGUGUGUUAGUGGAAGCGUCUGGAAAGGCGCGCGAUACAGGGUGACAGCCCCGUACACAAAAGCGCAUGUGCUGUGAGCUCGAUGAGUAGGGCGGGACACGUGGUAUCCUGUCUGAAUAUGGGGGGACCAUCCUCCAAGGCUAAAUACUCCUGACUGACCGAUAGUGAACCAGUACCGUGAGGGAAAGGCGAAAAGAACCCCGGCGAGGGGAGUGAAAAAGAACCUGAAACCGUGUACGUACAAGCAGUGGGAGCACAGGUUUACCUGUGUGACUGCGUACCUUUUGUAUAAUGGGUCAGCGACUUAUAUUCUGUAGCAAGGUUAACCGAAUAGGGGAGCCGGAGGGAAACCGAGUCUUAAUUGGGCGUUAAGUUGCAGGGUAUAGACCCGAAACCCGGUGAUCUAGCCAUGGGCAGGUUGAAGGUUGGGUAACACUAACUGGAGGACCGAACCGACUAAUGUUGAAAAAUUAGCGGAUGACCUGUGGCUGGGGGUGAAAGGCCAAUCAAACCGGGAGAUAGCUGGUUCUCCCCGAAAGCUAUUUAGGUAGCGCCUCGUGAAUUCAUCUCCGGGGGUAGAGCACUGUUUCGGCUAGGGGGCCAUCCCGGCUUACCAACCCGAUGCAAACUGCGAAUACCGGAGAAUGUUAUCACGGGAGACACACGGCGGGUGCUAACGUCCGUCGUGAAGAGGGAAACAACCCAGACCGCCAGCUAAGGUCCCAAAGUCAUGGUUAAGUGGGAAACGAUGUGGGAAGGCCCAGACAGCCAGGAUGUUGGCUUAGAAGCAGCCAUCAUUUAAAGAAAGCGUAAUAGCUCACUGGUCGAGUCGGCCUGCGCGGAAGAUGUAACGGGGCUAAACCAUGCACCGAAGCUGCGGCAGCGAACGUAUCACUUAAAGCGAUUCAGCGGGUUACGAUUGACGGAGCGAAGCGACGUCAAAGCGUAUACAAAGUCGAGUCGGUUUAAGGAUACGUUCGUUGGGUAGGGGAGCGUUCUGUAAGCCUGCGAAGGUGGCCUGUGAGGGUUGCUGGAGGUAUCAGAAGUGCGAAUGCUGACAUAAGUAACGAUAAAGCGGGUGAAAAGCCCGCUCGCCGGAAGACCAAGGGUUCCUGUCCAACGUUAAUCGGGGCAGGGUGAGUCGACCCCUAAGGCGAGGCCGAAAGGCGUAGUCGAUGGGAAACAGGUUAAUAUUCCUGUACUUGGUGUUACUGCGAAGGGGGGACGGAGAAGGCUAUGUUGGCCGGGCGACGGUUGUCCCGGUUUAAGCGUGUAGGUGUGUGUUCCAGGUAAAUCCGGUUCACUUUAACACUGAGGCGUGAUGACGAGGCACUACGGUGCUGAAGCAACAAAUGCCCUGCUUCCAGGAAAAGCCUCUAAGCAUCAGGUAACAUCAAAUCGUACCCCAAACCGACACAGGUGGUCAGGUAGAGAAUACCAAGGCGCUUGAGAGAACUCGGGUGAAGGAACUAGGCAAAAUGGUGCCGUAACUUCGGGAGAAGGCACGCUGACACGUAGGUGAAGUGAUUUACUCAUGGAGCUGAAGUCAGUCGAAGAUACCAGCUGGCUGCAACUGUUUAUUAAAAACACAGCACUGUGCAAACACGAAAGUGGACGUAUACGGUGUGACGCCUGCCCGGUGCCGGAAGGUUAAUUGAUGGGGUCAGCGCAAGCGAAGCUCCUGAUCGAAGCCCCGGUAAACGGCGGCCGUAACUAUAACGGUCCUAAGGUAGCGAAAUUCCUUGUCGGGUAAGUUCCGACCUGCACGAAUGGCGUAAUGAUGGCCAGGCUGUCUCCACCCGAGACUCAGUGAAAUUGAACUCGCUGUGAAGAUGCAGUGUACCCGCGGCAAGACGGAAAGACCCCGUGAACCUUUACUAUAGCUUGACACUGAACAUUGAGCCUUGAUGUGUAGGAUAGGUGGGAGGCUUUGAAGCGUGGACGCCAGUCUGCGUGGAGCCGACCUUGAAAUACCACCCUUUAAUGUUUGAUGUUCUAACGUGGACCCGUAAUCCGGGUUGCGGACAGUGUCUGGUGGGUAGUUUGACUGGGGCGGUCUCCUCCUAAAGAGUAACGGAGGAGCACGAAGGUUGGCUAAUCCUGGUCGGACAUCAGGAGGUUAGUGCAAUGGCAUAAGCCAGCUUGACUGCGAGCGUGACGGCGCGAGCAGGUGCGAAAGCAGGUCAUAGUGAUCCGGUGGUUCUGAAUGGAAGGGCCAUCGCUCAACGGAUAAAAGGUACUCCGGGGAUAACAGGCUGAUACCGCCCAAGAGUUCAUAUCGACGGCGGUGUUUGGCACCUCGAUGUCGGCUCAUCACAUCCUGGGGCUGAAGUAGGUCCCAAGGGUAUGGCUGUUCGCCAUUUAAAGUGGUACGCGAGCUGGGUUUAGAACGUCGUGAGACAGUUCGGUCCCUAUCUGCCGUGGGCGCUGGAGAACUGAGGGGGGCUGCUCCUAGUACGAGAGGACCGGAGUGGACGCAUCACUGGUGUUCGGGUUGUCAUGCCAAUGGCACUGCCCGGUAGCUAAAUGCGGAAGAGAUAAGUGCUGAAAGCAUCUAAGCACGAAACUUGCCCCGA
rnacentral:rRNA from 1 species